rnacentral:rRNA from 1 species
UACAGAGGUCUCAAGCGUUGUUCGGAUUCAUUGGGCGUAAAGGGUGUGUAGGUGGCGCCGUAAGUCGGGUGUGAAAUUUCGGAGCUUAACUCCGAAACUGCAUUCGAUACUGCGGUGCUUGAGGACUGGAGAGGAGACUGGAAUUCAUGGUGUAGCAGUGAAAUGCGUAGAGAUCAUGAGGAAGACCAGUGGCGAAGGCGGGUCUCUGGACAGUUCCUGACACUGAGACACGAAGGCCAGGGGGAGCAAAACGGGG